rnacentral:rRNA from 1 species
ACCAUAAAGUGAGUGGCGAACGGGUGAGUAACACGUGGGUAACCUGCCCAGAAGCGGGGGAUAACACCUGGAAACAGAUGCUAAUACCGCAUAAUAACGAAAACCGCAUGGUUUUCGUUUAAAAGAUGGCUUCGGCUAUCACUUCUGGAUGGACCCGCGGCGUAUUAGCUAGUUGGUGAGAUAAUGGCUCACCAAGGCAGUGAUACGUAGCCGACCUGAGAGGGUAAUCGGCCACAUUGGGACUGAGACACGGCCCAGACUCCUACGGGAGGCAGCAGUAGGGAAUCUUCCACAAUGGACGCAAGUCUGAUGGAGCAACGCCGCGUGAGUGAUGAAGGCUUUCGGGUCGUAAAACUCUGUUGUUGGAGAAGAACGUGUGUGAGAGUAACUGCUCAUGCAGUGACGGUAUCCAACCAGAAAGCCACGGCUAACUACGUGCCAGCAGCCGCGGUAAUACGUAGGUGGCAAGCGUUAUCCGGAUUUAUUGGGCGUAAAGCGAGCGCAGGCGGUCUUUUAAGUCUAAUGUGAAAGCCUUCGGCUUAACCGAAGAAGUGCAUUGGAAACUGAGAGACUUGAGUGCAGAAGAGGAGAGUGGAACUCCAUGUGUAGCGGUGAAAUGCGUAGAUAUAUGGAAGAACACCAGUGGCGAAGGCGGCUCUCUGGUCUGCAACUGACGCUGAGGCUCGAAAGCAUGGG